GGUUGUAUCAGGGAAGCGCUGGGUUUUUUAACGCGCCUUGAAGAUGUAUAAAUCGCUCACCAACUGUCAUUUUGGAAGAACUACAGGGCAGAGCCACGGCUUUCAACUGUUUUAAGAAGAGCACAUGGAUAUAUUUGUGAGAGAAAAACUCGUCGAGUGCUGUCUUAUUGAGGCGUCUAACGGUUGGAACAAACAUGGAAUUUCUUAACUGAGCAGAGUACACAAUACCCCAUCCAUUCGUCAUGGAGAUUUAAAAAUGCCAGCAGAUGUCUCAGGCAUUGAUCACAAUCAAUGGACAGGUAUGGAUAUUCU